rnacentral:rRNA from 1 species
UACAGAGGGUGCGAGCGUUAAUCGGAAUUACUGGGCGUAAAGCGCGCGUAGGCGGCCUUCUAAGUCAGACGUGAAAUCCCCCCGGCUUAACCUGGGAACUGCGUCUGAUACUGGGAGGCUUGAGUAUGGGAGAGGGAUGUAGAAUUCCAGGUGUAGCGGUGAAAUGCGUAGAUAUCUGGAGGAAUACCGGUGGCGAAGGCGGCAUCCUGGACCAUAACUGACGCUGAGGCGCGAAAGCUAGGGGAGCAAACGGG